rnacentral:rRNA from 1 species
GAGAGUUGGGCCUGCUCAGUGAUUUAACAGCUGCGGUUAAUAACUGUACUAAGGUAGCAUAAUAAAUUGUCUUAUAAAUUGAGACUAGAAUGAAUGGUUUGACGAAAGUUAUACUGUCUCUAUUAUAUUUUUUUGAAAUUAAUUUUUAUAGUGAAAAAGCUUAAAUUUUUUAAAGGGACGAAAAGACCCUAUUGAGCUUUUUUGGUUGGGGUGAUCGAGGAAUAAAUAACUUCCUUAAAUAAACAAUUUCUUUUAUGAUAAGUUACCAUAGGGAUAACAGCGUAAUUUCUUUUGAGAGUUCUUAUUAAAAAAGAAGAUUGCGACCUCGAUGUUGGAUUAAAAUUAACCUUAAGGUGGAGAAGCUUUAUUUGGUAAAUCUGUUCGAUUUUUAAAAUUUU